UAAAAUUAUUUGGAAAUUGUAUUACCCUAACUAAAACUAAGUGAAAACAGAUAAAAUUGUGAGCGCAUUGAUUAAAUUGUGAAUUGAACUUAUGAAUUAAAGUACGGUUGGAACUUACGAACUAAACGUUACGCUGCUGCCUAAGAGUGCUAGUAGUAUCGCCACUACCGAUUGGCUUGAUAUAGGUACACGAAAGGACACUAAACGAAUUUUUUAACGCCAAUUUGGUACGAUACAUUACGUACGCUAAUUUGAAUUGCGUUACCGUAUACUAGAGUAACCUAAAUAAAACGUUAUUGAAUCGGAAACUGUCUUUCUCGUUGCAUUUGCGACAUUUUAAAAAAUUCGUUUAUUACGCGAUCGGGGAGGCUUGAAUUAUGCCGCCGAAGGCAAAGCCGAAUGUCAGUUGUGGUGGGUGCCAGAAUCCGGACAACAACCGGAUGGUUUGCUGCGACGAUUGUGAAUUAUGGUUUCAUUUCGAGUGUGUGGGCGUGAAUGAGGAUAUCGAGGAGGAGGAUUGGAGUUGUGCGGUGUGCGUGGCUAAACGAGCAGCUCAGAACCCAUCGGUCAUCAUCACAGAUUCUGCACGGAAUAAAACGGAUCCAAAGUCGACAGGUGAACAGGAGCAAACUAAACAA